rnacentral:rRNA from 1 species
AGAGUUUGAUCAUGGCUCAGAUUGAACGCUGGCGGCAGGCUUAACACAUGCAAGUCGAGCGGAAACGAGAAUAGCUUGCUAUUCGGCGUCGAGCGGCGGACGGGUGAGUAAUGCUUGGGAAUAUGCCUUGAGGUGGGGGACAACAGUUGGAAACGACUGCUAAUACCGCAUAAUGUCUACGGACCAAAGGAGGGGAUCUUCGGACCUUUCGCCUUUAGAUUAGCCCAAGUGAGAUUAGCUAGAUGGUGGGGUAAUGGCCUACCAUGGCGACGAUCUCUAGCUGGUUUGAGAGGAUGAUCAGCCACACUGGGACUGAGACACGGCCCAGACUCCUACGGGAGGCAGCAGUGGGGAAUAUUGCGCAAUGGGCGAAAGCCUGAUGCAGCAUGCCGCGUGUGUGAAGAAGGCCUUCGGGUUGUAAAGCACUUUCAGCGAGGAGGAAAGGGAUGUAGUUAAUAACUGCAUUCUGUGACGUUACUCGCAGAAGAAGCACCGGCUAACUUCGUGCCAGCAGCCGCGGUAAUACGAGGGGUGCAAGCGUUAAUCGGAAUUACUGGGCGUAAAGCGUGCGUAGGUGGUUUGUUAAGCAAGAUGUGAAAGCCCCGGGCUCAACCUGGGAACUGCAUUUUGAACUGGCAGGCUAGAGUAUUGUAGAGGGUAGUGGAAUUUCCAGUGUAGCGGUGAAAUGCGUAGAGAUUGGAAGGAACACCAGUGGCGAAGGCGACUUACUGGCCAAAUACUGACGCUGAGGUGCGAAAAGCGUGGGGAGCAAACGGGAUUAGAUACCCCGGUAGUCCACGCCGUAAACGAUGUCUACUAGCCGUUGGAAUCCUUGAGAUUUUAGUGGCGCAGCUAACGCACUAAGUAGACCGCCUGGGGAGUACGGCCGCAAGGUUAAAACUCAAAUGAAUUGACGGGGGCCCGCACAAGCGGUGGAGCAUGUGGUUUAAUUCGAAGCAACGCGAAGAACCUUACCAGGUCUUGACAUCCAGAGAAUCCUGUAGAGAUACGGGAGUGCCUUCGGGAACUCUGUGACAGGUGCUGCAUGGCUGUCGUCAGCUCGUGUCGUGAGAUGUUGGGUUAAGUCCCGCAACGAGCGCAACCCUUGUCCUAUGUUGCCAGCACAUAAUGGUGGGAACUCUAACGGGACUGCCACCGUAAGGUGAGAGGAAGGUGGGGAUGACGUCAAAUCAGCACGGCCCUUAUGUCCAGGGCUACACACGUGUUACAAUGGUUGGUACAAAGGGCAGCUACCUGGCGACAGGAUGCUAAUCUCAAAAACCAAUCUCAGUUCGGAUUGGAGUCUGCAACUCGACUCCAUGAAGCUGGAUUCGCUAGUAAUCGUAUAUCAGCAAUGAUACGGUGAAUACGUUCCCGGGCCUUGUACACACCGCCCGUCAAACCACGGAAGUUGGGGGUACCUGAAGUCUGUCACCUCAAGGAGGCGGCCUAGGGUAAAACUAGUAACUGGGGUUAAGUCGUAACAAGGUAACC